GUAGGUGGCAAGCGUUGUCCGGGAAUUAUUGGGGCGUAAAGCGCGCGCAGGCGGUUCUUUAAGUCUGAUGUGAAAGCCCACGGGCUCAACCGUGGAGGGUCAUUGGAAACUGGAGAACUUGAGUACAGAAGAGGAAAGCGGAAUUCCACGUGUAGCGGUGAAAUGCGUAGAGAUGUGGAGGAACACCAGUGGCGAAGGCGGCUUUCUGGUCUGUAACUGACGCUGAGGCGCGAAAGCGUGGGGAGCAAACAGGAUUAGAUACCCUGGUAGUCCACGCCGUAAACGAUGAGUGCAAAGUGUUAGGGGGUUUCCGCCCCUUAGUGCUGCAGCUAACGCAUUAAGCACUCCGCCUGGGGAGUACGGCCGCAAAGGCUG
rnacentral:rRNA from 1 species